UUUCUGUGUGUGUUACAACAAACCAGUUCUUAAAAGGAUCUUAUGUCAAAAAAGGCAUAAAUGAAUGCUUUGCGGCCUUGUCUUACCCUGAAGUGUGGUAUCUUGGGUGUAGGAGCUGCAGAAGUAACAAAG